AACGAACGCUGGCGGCAUGCCUAACACAUGCAAGUCGAACGAGAUCUUCGGGUCUAGUGGCGCACGGGUGCGUAACGCGUGGGAAUCUGCCCUUUGGUUCGGAAUAACAGUUGGAAACGACUGCUAAUACCGGAUGAUGACGAAGUCCAAAGAUCUAUCGCCAGAGGAUGAGCCCGCGUAGGAUUAGCUAGUUGGUGUGGUAAGGGCGCACCAAGGCGACGAUCCUUAGCUGGUCUGAGAGGAUGAUCAGCCACACUGGGACUGAGACACGGCCCAGACUCCUACGGGAGGCAGCAGUGGGGAAUAUUGGACAAUGGGCGAAAGCCUGAUCCAGCAAUGCCGCGUGAGUGAUGAAGGCCUUAGGGUUGUAAAGCUCUUUUACCCGGGAUGAUAAUGACAGUACCGGGAGAAUAAGCUCCGGCUAACUCCGUGCCAGCCGCCGCCGUAA
rnacentral:rRNA from 1 species